rnacentral:rRNA from 1 species
GUGCAGCAGUCGCGAAACUUCACACUGUGCGAAAGCACGAUGAGGGAAUCCCAAGUGCUUGCACGUAAGUGUAAGCUGUUUCUCUGUUUAAACGCAGAGAGAGUAAGGGCUGGGUAAGACGGGUGCCAGCCGCCGCGGUAAUACCUGCAGCUCAAGUGGUGACCGUUAUUAUUGGGCCUAAAACGUCCGUAGCCGGUUUAAUAAAUGCCUGGGUAAAUCGUGUAGCUUAACUAUACGAAUUCCGGGUAGACUGUUAAACUCGAGACCGGGAGAAGUUAGAGGUACUCCUGGGGUAGAGGUGAAAUUCUGUAAUCCUAGGGGACCACCAGUGGCGAAGGCGUCUAACUAGAACGGGUCUGACGGUGAGGGACGAAGCCCUGGGGCGCAAACGGGGAUUAGAUACCCCUGUAGU